GAUGAACGCUGGCGGCGUGCCUAAUACAUGCAAGUCGAGCGAACGGACGAGAAGCUUGCUUCUCUGAUGUUAGCGGCGGACGGGUGAGUAACACGUGGAUAACCUACCUAUAAGACUGGGAUAACUUCGGGAAACCGGAGCUAAUACCGGAUAAUAUUUUGAACCGCAUGGUUCAAAAGUGAAAGACGGUCUUGCUGUCACUUAUAGAUGGAUCCGCGCUGCAUUAGCUAGUUGGUAAGGUAACGGCUUACCAAGGCAACGAUGCAUAGCCGUCCUGAGAGGGUGAUCGGCCACACUGGAACUGAGACACGGUCCAGACUCCUACGGGAGGCAGCAGUAGGGAAUCUUCCGCAAUGGGCGAAAGCCUGACGGAGCAACGCCGCGUGAGUGAUGAAGGUCUUCGGAUCGUAAAACUCUGUUAUUAGUGAAGAACAUAUGUGUAAGUAACUGUGCACAUCUUGACGGUACCUAAUCAGAAAGCCACGGCUAACUACGUG
rnacentral:rRNA from 1 species